rnacentral:pre_miRNA from 1 species
UUUCAGUGUAACCAUAAGUUACCACGCUCAAUCGUUUUAUUUGAAUUUUUUUUAUAAUUAGUAAUUUUAUUAUUAUUAUAUGAUAAAAUAUGAAUAUUACUUUAUACAUAACUUAUGUUUUAAGUUUUUUUUGAAAUUUUUUCAAAUAAGUCGAACGAUCAAAGUUAUGCACGAAAAAUUAUGGCUGGAUUUAAA